rnacentral:rRNA from 1 species
UACGUAGGGGGCUAGCGUUGUCCGGAAUCAUUGGGCGUAAAGCGCGUGUAGGCGGUCCGGUAAGUCCGCUGUGAAAGUCGAGGGCUCAACCCUCGAAUGCCGGUGGAUACUGUCGGGCUAGAGUACGGAAGAGGCGAGUGGAAUUCCUGGUGUAGCGGUGAAAUGCGCAGAUAUCAGGAGGAACACCAAUUGCGAAGGCAGCUCGCUGGGACGUUACUGACGCUAAGGCGCGAAAGCGUGGGGAGCGAACGGG